AACGUAGGAGACGAGCGUUAUCCGGAUUUACUGGGCGUAAAGCGUGUGCAGGCGGUUCGGCAAGUUGGAUGUGAAAUCUCCCGGCUCAACUGGGAGGGGUCGUUCAAUACUACCGAACUUGAGGUCAUCAGAGGAAGGUGGAAUUCCGGGUGUAGUGGUGAAAUGCGUAGAUAUCCGGAGGAACACCAGUGGCGAAGGCGGCCUUCUGGGAUGAUCCUGACGCUCAGACACGAAAGCUAGAGGAGCGAAUGGG
rnacentral:rRNA from 1 species